rnacentral:rRNA from 1 species
GACGAACGCUGGCGGCGUGCUUAACACAUGCAAGUCGAACGGAAACGCCCUGCUUUUGUGGGCUGCUCGAGUGGCGAACGGGUGAGUUACACGUGAGUAACCUGCCCUUGACUUUGGGGUAACUUCAGGAAACUGGGGCUAAUACCGGAUAGGAGCUCCUGCUGCAUGGUGGGGGUUGGAACGUUUCGGCGGUUGGGGAUGGACUGGCGGCUUAUCAGCUUGUUGGUGGGGUAGUGGCUUACCAAGGCUUCGACGGGUAGCCGGCCUGAGAGGGUGACCGGCGACAAUAGGACUGAGGUACGGCCCAGACUGGAACGGUAGGCAACGGUGGAGAGUAUUACACAGUAGGCGGGAGCCUGAUGUGACAACGCCGGGGGCGGGAAGACGGCCUGGGGGUAGUGAACCGCAUUCGCCUGAGACGAAGCGUGAAUGACGGUAAUGGGAGAAGAAGCACCGGCUAACUACGUG